GACGAACGCUGGCGGCGUGCCUAAUACAUGCAAGUAGAACGCUGAAGAGAGGAGCUUACUCUUCUUGGAUGAGUUGCGAACGGGUGAGUAACGCGUAGGUAACCUGCCUUGUAGCGGGGGAUAACUAUUGGAAACGAUAGCUAAUACCGCAUAACAAUGGCUGCCACAUGUCAUUUAUUUGAAAGGGGCAAUUGCUCCACUACAAGAUGGACCUGCGUUGUAUUAGCUAGUAGGUGAGGUAAUGGCCCACCUAGGCGACGAUACAUAGCCGACCUGAGAGGGUGAUCGGCCACACUGGGACUGAGACACGGCCCAGACUCCUACGGGAGGCAGCAGUAGGGAAUCUUCGGCAAUGGGGGCAACCCUGACCGAGCAACGCCGGGGGAGUGAAGAAGGUUUUCGGAUCGGAAAGCUCUGUUGUAAGUCAAGAACGGGUGUGAGAGUGGAAAGUUCACGCUGUGACGGUAGCUUACCAGAAAGGGACGGCUAACUACGUG
rnacentral:rRNA from 1 species